UACGUAGGGGGCUAGCGUUGUCCGGAAUUAUUGGGCGUAAAGAGCUUGUAGGCGGUUUGUCGCGUCUGCUGUGAAAAUCCGGGGCUCAACCCCGGACUUGCAGUGGGUACGGGCAGACUAGAGUGUGGUAGGGGAGACUGGAAUUCCUGGUGUAGCGGUGAAAUGCGCAGAUAUCGAGGAGGAACACCGGUGGCGAAGGCGGGUCUCUGGGCCGUAACUGACGCUGGAGGA
rnacentral:rRNA from 1 species